UCCAUUUUUUUAUUUCGCAUUUAUUAACAAGUGAAUUUAAUUUAAUUAUGAUUAACGUUUAUUUUUAUUCUUUUCUUAUUCUAAUUAGAUUAAUUUGGUUGGUUAGUCUACAAUCGAUCAGUUGAUUGUUGUUGUUUUGCAGGUGAUAAUAAAUGGAGAUUAAUUUGAUUACCUUUUGUUACUGUGCUUAUGUGGGGGAAUUGAUUACAUCUUGAAGCCAUUUUUUCUUGUUCUUUUUGGUUCCACUGGUUGAAAUUGAAUACAAUGGUCGUAGAAAUGACCUUAAGAAUGGCCGACAAUCUUUUCCGUUUCAAAGAUUUUCUAUAUUUAUGUGUACAUAAAGGAAACUAUGAUGAGGUUUUAAAUUGAUUCCUUUUGUUUUUUUUCUCUUCUUCUUAAAUUGGUUCUUGUCCAACGAAAUAACCACCACCAAAAAUCAUCAUCAUCAGGAGAGGAACGUUAUUCUUGUGAGUUUGUUGAUGAUUCUAUGGUAAUUUGAGAAAAGAGAUGGUAAAAUGAUCAUUUAUGACCCAAUUGUAAAACCAGAUUAAUCUCUAAUGGAUCGCAAAUGUAUUAUUUUUACGGUCAUUAUCGGUCAAAGAUUGGACAGUUUAAUAGUAGUUGACCUCUAUCAUCGUAACAGUUUAUGCUUUGUUAAUUAUUGUCUUUGUUCUAAUUUCAAAUGAAUGAAAAAGGAGAGAGAAUUACAAAGUAAUUUGCUGAUUAUCUUCCCUUUAUGUUUACGAGAGAGAUCCAGUGGAAUCUUAUAAAAAAACAAACCGUCGAAAUCAAUGGUAAUCGUUAAUCAAUAACAAAGAUGAAAACAAUUGUAAUUCAAUCAAGGAAAAUCAACCCAAGAUGAUUUACCAUUUAAUCAUCAACGUAAUUUACCAUGAUUCACAGUUUUCCAAUCAAUUAUUACCCAUGGAAAUAAAUUUCCUGUCUGGUAUUUUGGCAAAUUUUCACCAUUUUCCCAACAAUCAGAUGUACAAGUUUUCAAUUUCUCACUCAUUCUAAUUGUUUUUAUGGCAGUGGACAAAUCGGACAUAAAUCGUCGACAAUUACAGUUAUUCAAUUAUUUUGACUUUUAACCAUUUCUUAUGUUUAUUUUUAUACAGAUUAUUUUGCCUGAAAAAUUCCAAUACCCGAUUAAUUGCUUCCCAAUCAACAACAAUAAACCGAAGGUCGAAACAAUCGGGGUUAUCGGAUUAUCCAUAUUAACAAUUGUAACUCGAUCAACUUAGUGUUUUGAUUAGAUUAAUUUGAUUUGAUGGUUAAAAGAUUAUCUCUCAUCGAUGAGUACAUUCACACUCAUAUUGGAGACUUGGAGUUGGUACUUUUCGAGUUUCAAGAACAUGAUGAAUACCAUUUUCUUGGGUCAUAAUGUCGAUCCCAUCGGGCACAUAAAACUCAACUAGAGCAGUUAUAAUGGCCACUGCUAAUCCUCCCAUUAGGACAACGAAAACACCACCAAUAUUAUCAACACCCAGGGCAUUUGCUUUACCCUCUUUAUUUUUAUCAUCUCGAUUACAAGCAAUACCUGAAUUUU